GAACUCUUUGGCAACCUCUUCCUACAUAUCACAUAUUAGCAAUCAGACAGAAAAAUCAAACUUACAAAAAUAACACAUCUGUUGAAUAAUCAUCAGAAACUUCAUAAACAAUUAUUACAUUAUAAAUUACAACAUCAAAAGCAUAAAAACCACAGAUUAUUCAUAUGACGACUUUUUUCUCCUUCCAACUAAAGCAUCAUGUUUUAAUAUUUUAGUACUUUGGAGAGUGCUCCUCUAAUGGUCUCAGGUUCGAUUGGUGCCAAUUAUUAGGAAAGAUCUGAUUCUUGUUUUUCUUGAUUACGAGUUAUUCAGCUUAGUCAAUAUAAUCACAUUAGUGCUUGUACUUCAAUCAUCAAUUAACAAGAUUCCGUUUUCUCUAAUUUUCCCGUUGUAAUAGUGUAAUUGAUGAUGAUACCUUG
rnacentral:lncRNA from 1 species